GGCGAACGGGUGCGUAACACGUGAGAAACCUGCCCCGAUCUCUGGGAUAACAGUUGGAAACGACUGCUAAUACCGGAUGCCGUCGGACCGUCGCAUGGCGGACCGACGAAAGGGUUACCGGAUCGGGAGGGUCUCGCGGCCUAUCAGCUUGUUGGUGAGGUAACGGCUCACCAAGGCAUCGACGGGUAGCUGGUCUGAGAGGAUGAUCAGCCACACUGGGACUGAGACACGGCCCAGACUCCUACGGGAGGCAGCAGUGGGGAAUAUUGCACAAUGGGCGAAAGCCUGAUGCAGCAACGCCGCGUGCGGGAUGAAGGCCCUAGGGUUGUAAACCGCUUUCAGCAGGGAAGAAAAUGACGGUACCUGUAGAAGAAGGUGCGGCCAACUACGUGCCAGCAGCCGCGGUGACACGUAGGCACCAAGCGUUGUCCGGAUUUAUUGGGCGUAAAGAGCUCGUAGGCGGUUCAGUAAGUCGGGUGUGAAAACUCUGGGCUUAACCCAGAGCCUGCACCCGAAACUGCUGUGACUAGAGUUCGGUAGGGGAGCGGGGAAUUCCUGGUGUAGCGGUGAAAUGCGCAGAUAUCAGGAGGAACACCGGUGGUGAAGGCGCCGCUCUGGGCCGACACUGACGCUGAGGAGCGAAAGCGUGGGUAGCAAACAGGAUUAGAUACCCUGGUAGUCCACGCCGUAAACGUUGGGCACUAGGUGUGGGUCUCUACCAACGAGAUCCGCGCCGUCGCUAACGCAUUAAGUGCCCC
rnacentral:rRNA from 1 species